CGGGACUGGAACCGGCACUUGGCACCCCUUACGCCUUACGGUGGCCGCUGCGCCCAGUCACAUCUGAGCGGAGAAUUUAAUAGGCAAGAAAGAAGGAAGAAGGCUGAAGGAAGAAGCUCCCCACUACAGAGACAGACGGAGGGGGCUCCCAAGACGAAAGAGGAGACCCCCAUUCUAGAUGUUCUUAACCCUUUGAGGGCAAAGCUCUCCGUUUAAUGCCUUGCACAUAUCAGGUUGCCAACAACAUGGUGUGGUUUAUCAAUUGUGAUAGGUUACUUAUUCGAGCCCCUGUUUACAAGAGUUUUAGAUUGCAUUUCUCUGGAAUGACCACAGCAAUAUUUCCAGCCCUUGAUGAUCUUCUAGAACUUUGCCACUUCCCUGC
rnacentral:lncRNA from 1 species